rnacentral:rRNA from 1 species
GUGGGGAAUAUUGGACAAUGGGCGCAAGCCUGAUCCAGCCAUGCCGCGUGUGUGAUGAAGGCCUUAGGGUUGUAAAGCACUUUUGUCCGGGAAGAUAAUGACUGUACCGGAAGAAUAAGCCCCGGCUAACUUCGUGCCAGCAGCCGCGGUAAUACGAAGGGGGCUAGCGUUGCUCGGAAUCACUGGGCGUAAAGGGCGCGUAGGCGGACUCUUAAGUCGGGGGUGAAAGCCCAGGGCUCAACCCUGGAAUUGCGUUCGAUACUGAGAGUCUUGAGUUCGGAAGAGGUUGGUGGAACUGCGAGUGUAGAGGUGAAAUUCGUAGAUAUUCGCAAGAACACCAGUGGCGAAGGCGGCCAACUGGUCCGAUACUGACGCUGAGGCGCGAAAGCGUGGGGAGCAAACAGGAUUAGAUACCCCAGUAGUCC